rnacentral:rRNA from 1 species
GUUAGCGGCGGACGGGUGAGUAACACGUGGGCAACCUGCCUGUAAGACUGGGAUAACACCGGGAAACCGGUGCUAAUACCGGAUAAUCCUUUUCCUCUCAUGAGGGAAAGCUGAAAGUCGGUUUCGGCUGACACUUACAGAUGGGCCCGCGGCGCAUUAGCUAGUUGGUGAGGUAACGGCUCACCAAGGCGACGAUGCGUAGCCGACCUGAGAGGGUGAUCGGCCACACUGGGACUGAGACACGGCCCAGACUCCUACGGGAGGCAGCAGUAGGGAAUCUUCCACAAUGGACGAAAGUCUGAUGGAGCAACGCCGCGUGAGCGAUGAAGGCCUUCGGGUCGUAAAGCUCUGUUGUUAGGGAAGAACAAGUACCGGAGUAACUGCCGGUACCUUGACGGUACCUAACCAGAAAGCCACGGCUAACUACGUGCCAGCAGCCGCGGUAA